AACUCUAAGUUUUUACACCAGGUGAAUCAGAAACCUAACGCUACUGCAUUUGCAUGGCGCUGCUGAAAUACUCCAGGAUCGUGAAAAAAAUAGAACUAGCCUAUCUGGUACUUCACAGCAACCAAACAUGUAAUCUGCUUAAUGGAAAGAUUUCUUCUCCAAGUCCCGCUUCUCCCUUAGCAAUGACAGGCUGAUGCAAAACAUCUGAGCAUUCAAAAGAGAACAAAAGAAUAUGGCUAUUCAUCAAAAUUGAGAAUUGAAUUGGCACAUAUGACAAACUUAGCAGCAAACGAGCAAGGUGCAUGAUUCAAAGUUACAACAGAUCGAAGUUCCAUUUGAGUAUAAGGAAUAACAUUCAUAUUCAAUCAAUAGUACCUAUUAAACUACCAGGCACCUACCCAACUACAAGUCAGGAGGCCACUACU